GAUGAACGCUGGCGGCGUGCUUAACACAUGCAAGUCGAACGAUGAAGCCCAGCUUGCUGGGUGGAUUAGUGGCGAACGGGUGAGUAACACGUGAGUAACCUGCCCUUAACUCUGGGAUAAGCCUGGGAAACUGGGUCUAAUACCGGAUAGGAGCGUCCACCGCAUGGUGGGUGUUGGAAAGAUUUAUCGGUUUUGGAUGGACUCGCGGCCUAUCAGCUUGUUGGUGAGGUAAUGGCUCACCAAGGCGACGACGGGUAGCCGGCCUGAGAGGGUGACCGGCCACACUGGGACUGAGACACGGCCCAGACUCCUACGGGAGGCAGCAGUGGGGAAUAUUGCACAAUGGGCGCAAGCCUGAUGCAGCGACGCCGCGUGAGGGAUGACGGCCUUCGGGUUGUAAACCUCUUUCAGUAGGGAAGAAGCGAAAGUGACGGUACCUGCAGAAGAAGCACCGGCUAACUACGAG
rnacentral:rRNA from 1 species